rnacentral:rRNA from 1 species
AUUGAACGCUGGCGGCAGGCCUAACACAUGCAAGUCGAACGAGCGGCGGACGGGAGAGUAAUGACUGGGAAUAUGCCUGAUGGAUGGGGAUAACUCAUGGGAACGGUUGCUAAUACCGCAUACCAUAGGAUGAGCCCAGAUGGGAUUAGGUAGUUGGUGGGGUAACGGAUCACCUAGGCGACGAGCCCUAGCUAGUCUGAGAGGAUGAACAGCCACACUGGAACUGAGACACGGUCCAGACUCCUACGGUAGGCAGCAGUGGGGAAUAUUGGACAAUGGGCGCAAGCCUGAUGCAGCCAUGCCGCGUGUAUGAAGAAGGUCUUCGGAUUGUAAAGUACUUUCAGCUGGGAGGCGUUACCCGCAGAAUAAGUACCGGCUAACUCCGUGCCAGCAGCCGCGGUAAUUC